ACGAACGCUGGCGGCGUGCCUAAUACAUGCAAGUCGAACGGUCUUUCUAUGGAAGCUUGCUUCCACUGAGAAGAUAGUGGCGGACGGGUGAGUAACACGUGGGUAACCUGCCCAUAAGAGGGGGAUAACAUCCGGAAACGGGUGCUAAUACCGCAUAGUUUUCUUGAUCGCAUGAUUGAGAAAGGAAAGACGGCCUUUGUGCUGUCGCUUAUGGAUGGACCCGCGGCGUAUUAGUUAGUUGGUGAGGUAAUGGCUCACCAAGACGAUGAUACGUAGCCGACCUGAGAGGGUGAUCGGCCACAUUGGGACUGAGACACGGCCCAAACUCCUACGGGAGGCAGCAGUAGGGAAUCUUCCGCAAUGGACGAAAGUCUGACGGAGCAACGCCGCGUGAGUGAAGAAAGGUUUUCGGAUCGUAAAACUCUGUUGUCAGAGAAGAACAAGUUGGAGAGUAACUGCUCCAGCCUUGACGGUAUCUGACCAGAAAGCCACGGCUAACUACGUGCCAGCCGCCGC
rnacentral:rRNA from 1 species